rnacentral:rRNA from 1 species
AGUGAACGCUGGCGGUAGGCCUAACACAUGCAAGUCGAACGGCAGCACAGUAAGAGCUUGCUCUUACGGGUGGCGAGUGGCGGACGGGUGAGGAAUACAUCGGAAUCUACUUUUUCGUGGGGGAUAACGUAGGGAAACUUACGCCAAUACCGCAUACGACCUACGGGUGAAAGUAGGGGAUCUUCGGACCUUGCGCGAUUGAAUGAGCCGAUGUCGGAUUAGCUAGUUGGCGGGGUAAAGGCCCACCAAGGCGACGAUCCGUAGCUGGUCUGAGAGGAUGAUCAGCCACACUGGAACUGAGACACGGUCCAGACUCCUACGGGAGGCAGCAGUGGGGAAUAUUGGACAAUGGGCGCAAGCCUGAUCCAGCCAUACCGCGUGGGUGAAGAAGGCCUUCGGGUUGUAAAGCCCUUUUGUUGGGAAAGAAAAGCAGCAGGUUAAUACCCCGCUGUUCUGACGGUACCCAAAGAAUAAGCACCGGCUAACUUCGUG